UACAGAGACUGCAAGCGUUAUUCGGAUUCACUGGGCGUAAAGGGUGCGCAGGCGGUUGGGUGUGUCAGAUGUGAAAUCCCGAGGCUCAACCUCGGAACUGCGUCUGAAACUACUCGACUAGAGUACUGGAGAGGGUAACGGAAUUCACGGUGUAGCAGUGAAAUGCGUAGAUAUCGUGAGGAACACCAGAGGCGAAGGCGGUUACCUGGACAGUUACUGACGCUGAGACGCGAAAGCGUGGGGAGCAAACAGG
rnacentral:rRNA from 1 species